AUUGAACGCUGGCGGCAUGCUUUACACAUGCAAGUCGAACGGCAGCGCGGGCUUCGGCCUGGCGGCGAGUGGCGAACGGGUGAGUAAUACAUCGGAACGUGCCCAGUAGUGGGGGAUAGCUCGGCGAAAGCCGGAUUAAUACCGCAUACGACCUGAGGGUGAAAGCGGGGGAUCUUCGGACCUCGCGCCAUUGGAGCGGCCGAUGGCCGAUUAGCUAGUUGGUGGGGUAAAGGCCUACCAAGGCGACGAUCUGUAGCUGGUCUGAGAGGACGACCAGCCACACUGGGACGGAGACACGGCCCAGACUCCUACGGGAGGCAGCAGUGGGGAAUUUGGGACAAUGGGCGAAAGCCUGAUCCAGCAAUGCCGCGUGUGUGAUGAAGGCCUUCGGGUUGUAAAACACUUUUGGCGGGAACGAAAAGGACUGUGAGAAUACCACGGUUAGAUGACGGUACCCGCAGAAUAAGCACCGGCUAACUACGUG
rnacentral:rRNA from 1 species